GACGAACGCUGGCGGCGUGCCUAAUACAUGCAAGUAGAGCGCUGAAGGAGGAGCUUGCUUCUCUGGAUGAGUUGCGAACGGGUGAGUAACGCGUAGGUAACCUGCCUGGUAGCGGGGGAUAACUAUUGGAAACGAUAGCUAAUACCGCAUAAUAGUAGAUGUUGCAUGACAUUUGCCUAAAAGGUGCAAUUGCAUCACUACCAGAUGGACCUGCGUUGUAUUAGCUAGUUGGUGGGGUAACGGCUCACCAAGGCGACGAUACAUAGCCGACCUGAGAGGGUGAUCGGCCACACUGGGACUGAGACACGGCCCAGACUCCUACGGGAGGCAGCAGUAGGGAAUCUUCGGCAAUGGACGGAAGUCUGACCGAGCAACGCCGCGUGAGUGAAGAAGGUUUUCGGAUCGUAAAGCUCUGUUGUAAGAGAAGAACGAGUGUGAGAGUGGAAAGUUCACACUGUGACGGUAUCUUACCAGAAAGGGACGGCUAACUACGUG
rnacentral:rRNA from 1 species